rnacentral:rRNA from 1 species
AGAGUUUGAUCCUGGCUCAGGACGAACGCUGGCGGCGUGCUUAACACAUGCAAGUCGAACGAAGAGCGAUGGAAGCUUGCUUCUAUCAAUCUUAGUGGCGAACGGGUGAGUAACGCGUAAUCAACCUGCCCUUCAGAGGGGGACAACAGUUGGAAACGACUGCUAAUACCGCAUACGAUCUAAUCUCGGCAUCGAGGAUAGAUGAAAGGUGGCCUCUACAUGUAAGCUAUCACUGAAGGAGGGGAUUGCGUCUGAUUAGCUAGUUGGAGGGGUAACGGCCCACCAAGGCGAUGAUCAGUAGCCGGUCUGAGAGGAUGAACGGCCACAUUGGGACUGAGACACGGCCCAGACUCCUACGGGAGGCAGCAGUGGGGAAUCUUCCGCAAUGGACGAAAGUCUGACGGAGCAACGCCGCGUGAGUGAUGACGGUCUUCGGGUUGUAAAGCUCUGUUAAUCGGGACGAAAGGCCUUCUUGCAAAUAGUGAGAAGGAUUGACGGUACCGGAAUAGAAAGCCACGGCUAACUACGUGCCAGCAGCCGCGGUAAUACGUAGGUGGCAAGCGUUGUCCGGAAUUAUUGGGCGUAAAGCGCGCGCAGGCGGAUCAGUCAGUCUGUCUUAAAAGUUCGGGGCUUAACCCCGUGAUGGGAUGGAAACUGCUGAUCUAGAGUAUCGGAGAGGAAAGUGGAAUUCCUAGUGUAGCGGUGAAAUGCGUAGAUAUUAGGAAGAACACCAGUGGCGAAGGCGACUUUCUGGACGAAAACUGACGCUGAGGCGCGA